rnacentral:lncRNA from 1 species
ACAAAUAAACGGAGGUCAAAUUUGGAUUCUGGAGGUCCGAAAACUUUAAGAUCAGUCAAGAUCGACUUAAAAUUGAGCUUGUGUAAAAAGAGUUGACUUUUUUGCUUGACCGAGCACUGAUUGGAUGAUGAAAUGAGCUUACAAUAGAUUUGAGUGCAUGGGAUAGCAGACAAUUUUGACGAAAUCUCAACCGUUCAUGAUUCAAUGGCCAUGAUUGUGCCACGUGGCAAUGGUUGGUGAAGCAAGUUGUAGGAUCCGAAUCUUUGUAUUCGGGUCGACCCAAUCCAUCCAUUAACCCGCCAAAUCUCAACUAUUCUUUGGCCAAAUUGAUCAAGUCAAACAAUGCCACGUGUGAUGUUGACUUUUGAAGUUUGACUAGCCGUUGGAUCUUGAUCUAUUGGUUGUGAGGAGCGCAUGCAUGAAACUUAUGAUGGAUGGUAAAACACUGGAUUAUGAAUUUAUUUUUCUAUAAAUUGAGGCUCAUUUUUAUGUUUUUAAUGAUCUCUCUACAUCUCUCUUCUUCUCAAAUUCUCUCCAUCUUCCUGUAAUCUUGAUUUUCAGGUGUGUUUUUAAUAUUUUGUAUAAUUAUUUUAUAAAUAAAUUUAGUUUUAUUUUCAAUUUUAGUUGUUUUUAUUACGUAUUUCUUUUAUCAUCUUGCAACUAUCCAUGCCGCCAUAGUAAUUAAAAACUAACAUAUGUGAAUUAUUAAUUAGAGCCAACUUUGAAUUGUGAGAACACGAACUUUAUCAAUCAGAUGAAAUUUGUAUCUUGUUACUUUAAUUUUUUUUUUCCUUUCAAUUGAACUACAUAUUCGAUGUAGAGUUUUUAUAUUGAUUACUCAUUAAGUUUUUUAGUUUCUAAGUUUCCAAUCUCUUCUCGUAUUUGGGGAAAUAAAAUUUCUCAGUAGUAAAAUGAAUAUACUUUUGUGGUAUUCCAUUUAGAGCUCAUGUGUCAACGUCUAAAGCAAAUAUAUAUAUGUUGAGCUCUUUUGGAAUGACUUGAACACUUCAACAAGACCAGCAUCUUUAGUGCUAUCCAUGAUAUAGAAUAAUAUAGCAAUUAUAUGCUAAUUUAAAAUUAAAAAUCAAUAUUUACCAACAAGCUGUAAGUUACUUGCUAUAUUUCAAUUAAUUAAACUAUAUGAGAUUACCACUCUCUAAUAUUCAUUGAUAUUUUUUAUUAUCUGUGCUCUUACGACUAAUGAGUUACUUAAUCUUUUAAAAGCUUAUAGUCCAGAGCCAAAUCUCAAGACUUUUGUGUUGGAUUGGUCAAUUGAUGAUGGUAGUAGUAGUAAGAAGUACAAAUUAGAUCUAACUCUCCGUUUUUAAAUAUUUUCUAUUACUGUGUUCAGGUGAUGUCUUCUAAACUCUACUUUUUCCUUCAAGAUAUUGCAGAUAAUGUCUCAUUGAUGUUAAGAGGGGGGAAUAAUUGAUAAUUGUGCAAUAAAUAAUAGUUGUGUUCUUGUAUCCUUACUAACUUUUUCUAAAAGAUCAUGAUAGUACAGAAUCAAUAAGUAUAGAUAGUAACCUUUAAGAGUCGAUGAUUCGCAUGAUCAUCGCAAUCUUUACAAAUACAAGCUCGACAUUCCAAACAAAAAAGGUUCUUAUGUUUUCGAUUAUGACCUUGCUCUUCACAAUGCUCGUCGAAUCUUCCUUUAAGAAGAGCGGUUAGCCAACGAGGUACAAUAAGAACAUUGUCCUGAAAAACAUGGAAUAUAUUAAUACAGUUAAAAUUAAUCUAAAUUAUAAGAAACAACUAAAGAUAUAAAAAUAAAAGCCAACCAUUGUUUUCUUGGUAGGGAUUCUAGCAAGAGAAUAAGGGAUUCUAGCAAGAGAAUAACUUUUGCAAGAGGAGAGGCGUGCUAGCUAGCUGGCUAGAAAGAGGAUAAUUGCAAUGAAUCAAAUAGAGAAGAAAUUCGAACUAUUUAAAGAGAUGAAUGUGCCGUAUUUAUGUCGUGUUUGUGUGACUUAAUAGGUCGUAUUAUGUUGCAAAAAGGGAAAGAACGAAAAGGGGACAAAUAUAUAUUGCAAAAACGGGAAAACAAGGAAAAGGGGGGAAAAAGAUUGCACGUUCAGAAGGUGACGCCCCUUAUGGUUAAAUUCUUAUAUAUUUUGCAUGUUAAUUAAAUAUAGGAGUAAUAAUGGCAUUUAAUCCCUUUUAAGUUUGAAAAGUACAAUAAUUAUAUUAGAAAUAGAUUUUGCUUUGGGGAUGUUAUAAUUAAUGAAAUAGGUUUUGUUAACAAAAAUAGUUUCUAGUUUUAGCAACUAUAAAAUGGAAAAGUCCUUAUUCAAGUUGUGCUUGUGUCUUAAUUAACGCAACACUAUUUUGUUGCCUACUCUGAUCUAGUGUUAGAUCAGGAAACGAGAAAGAAAAGAAAAGGAACAAAAGUAGAAAAUAGAAAAUAUAAGUUAUUGGGGAAAAAAUAUAUAUAUAAGCACAAGUUGGUUUGGAUUAACUAAUUUUCGAGAUCUAUAUGUAAUUAAUUAAAUGGCUUUUACACAUUACUCAGCCUAUUAAAAAAAACUAAGAAGAUAAAGCAGAUAUAAAUCUUUUAAUUAACUUGUGUUAUAGACCAUGUGGAAUUGUUUGUGCCAGAAAGAUAUCGAAAGAAAACAUCCCUCUAUGAUGCCGUAAUUUUUUUACCGCAUUAAUAAUGUAAGAACUAUGUAUCAUUAGAUCUUAUCAACAGUACACAUUAUUUUUAUUAAUUAAAAAAUUUAUUUAUUUUUAAAAUAUUAUAACUGGUUAACAAACCAAUUGAAAAGGUGAUUUUAAAUUUAAAAAGUAAAGAAAAUAAAGAUAUGAUAAAAUACAAUCUCUUUAUUUAUCUCAUUGAAUUUAUUGUCGGUUUUAUAUCUCACAUUUGAAAUAUGAUUCUUAAAGAUUGUCUCUACUCCUGAAUGAUUAGACAAAAGAGAUUCGAUAAGCUAUUCUUAUUCCAUAGCACUUUAGUGCCAAAUAAUUUGAAUUGCUUUUGUUAUUCUAAUUGAUUUGAUAGUGAAUACUGUUACGGAAGCGUGAGAUUGAGCAAUUACCAAUAUUUUAGUGACUGUAACUUCUGGAGAAAUAUAAAUGUGGUGUAAACAAAUGCAGAGAAAAUAGGACACAAUAAUUUUUACGUGUUUCGGCGUAAAAUCUACGUCCAUGGGCAAAGACUGGAAGAUAAUUUUACUAAUAAUGAGACUUUACAAAAGUGAAAAAACUCUAAAAAAAAAAAAAUACUCAAUACACCCAACACUACAACAAAACUGGCAAUAGAUGACUGCAAAAAUCUAUCAUAAAGGGGGGUGGAUGACAGUGAAAUUAUCUAUCAUUUAUGUACCUGUCACUCUUUUAUGAUAGAAAAAAAGUAUGUCAUUAACGUAUGAUAGCGUUUAAAUGUCAUAUGUCAGUCAUGGAAAAAAAUAAAUAAAUAAUUUAAUUUUUUGGUGGGACAUGUAAAUUUUUUUUUUAUUUUGAAAUUUUGGCUGGAAAAUUAAUUUUCAUAUGGACAAUUUUGGCGGGUAAAAUAUUACGUUUGUGAUAAAAUUUAUGAUUGAUAUUUUAUGUCAUUAAUUCUUUUUAUGACUUAUUUUAUGAUUAAUUUUUUCUAUCACAAAUUCUAAAUUUAUACUGAACAUAAUUAUGAAUUAUUUCAUUUAAAUUUAUGCAUUCUUGUAUAUGAAAUUCAAUCACAAAUUCAAUAUGAACCAAAAAUUAAAUUAUACAUUCUAUUAAGUCCAAAAACACUUUGUAUUAAUAACAUCAUCUAAAAACACUUUUAUCCAACAGUUAACACAUCCAAAGUAAUUAAGAAGUUGAUUCCAGCAAACGUUUCAAAUUUUACAAACUAACAAGCCGUCAAAUCUUGUAACGCAGAACUCCCAUAUUCUCAGUAAAAUUCCAGUAGAUAAACUACCAUUCUCAACAAAUACCCAGCAAAACUCCCAAGACCAGCAAUUUCUCUCAACCUGCAUAUGCAACACCAAUUGAAUAUACCAAGCACUAUCGUUAUAAAGAAUAAAAACCUACAGUAAAACCCCUAAGUUUUAGAUGCAACAGAAUCAUUACUAAUUCAAACUCAAUCUGUAUGUGCAACACUAAUUAAUAUAGCCAACCCUAUAUUAUAAAGAGUUAUCUAUUAAAGUAAAACUUUAACUUUUUAUACAACUUAAAUUAAUUCCUUGCCACAAUAAAAUAUAUAGUAAAUAAAAAAGGUAUCUUGUAAUAUAAAUUUCAAGCAUAAUACAUAUCACCAUGACAAUGAAGAUAAUAUGAACUAAUGAUUGUCUCAAUACUUAUUUUUCAGCAGAACGUUCCUAUAGGAAUAGGUAAGCAAGAUCAUAUAUGGGAGUUAGGCAUGCAAAACAUUAUGGUUAUUUCUAUCUGGGCACAUAUCCUGUGAAAAUCAUGCACAAAUGUUCUAAAACUCUAUUAUGAAUAUGACUACACACAAACUAUAGCUAAGAGUAUAAACACGAAAGUCUCCACAAAAUCUAUGAAAAGGCCAAAACUCUCCUUCUCAGGCUGCUGCCAUUUCUUGCCUGUUGCUAAGAAUUAAAAGGAGACUCAUUAAACUUUGAAGAAAUGGAAUGGAAGCCCAAUGAAAAGCCCAAAUCCUCACUUUCUCCCAAAUAUACAAAAAUAUCCUCACGUAUUGUCCUCAAAUAUUCUUUUGUUUCUCUCCAACCACACAACCUAAAAAGUGGCCAUAACUAAACUAGCCCAUAAUAUAACGAACUUCCUCUUUCCUUCAAAUGCAAAAGGAAAUUCCAAAAGCAAGAACCGACGAGAAAAUAGCACAAAUAAGUACACCAAACAUUUAUAUGAAUUAAUUAUUUUUAAAAAAAGUAUAUCAAACAGACAAUAGAAUGCAGUACCAUAUUCUCCUCAUUUCCCCUGCCACCCCAAACCACGCAUAGAGAAGCACAACAAAUAAAUAUAUUCCCUAUACUGGAGAUAUAUAUAAGAUUUCUCCGAAGGUCAUCAGGCUUUAAUACAGCCAGAAAGCGGAUCUCAAUAAAAAUUUAAUUCAAAAUCACUGGUUCUUUUUGGAUGAUGCAGUUGUCAUUAAAUAUUUUGAAAGUAGCUGUGAAAAUAUAUCUCAUUCUGUUAUUCUAACCCCAAAAAUAAAAAUGGAAGAAAUGCCUAAAUAAUAACAAACAUUUGUCGGUCGUUCAGUGCACAACAACCUACAAUUGAAUUUCUUUUUGAGUAUGUUGCCAUUGUUGAGAGUGUACAAAAGUUUUUCACAGCUUCAGCAUUAAACCAAGUAGUAUACUACAAAAUGAAACUGUAGGAUAAACCACGAACGACAUCUAAUUAUAAAAUGUUGAUGAGUGGAAACUUGAUAAUAUUGAUGAAUCUGUUAGUACCUAUAAACGAGGAAUACAAAAACAGGCCUGGUUCACUGCAUUAUUAUUCAUUACCCCUCUAAUUAAUUAAGCUGAAGAAAAUAUCAGUGGCAGAGAAUUCUGUUCUUGGAUCCGUUUUCAACAGUUCGCAUUGUAUAUUAUAUCCUUAAGCAACUUCCGUUUUUCUAAAUAUUUGGAACUGUUUAAGAACCAAUCCAACUAAAAUUAUUGUUGCAAAAGGAAAAAUAUUAAGCACAUAGCAGAGCGAAAGAAUGCAUAUAUGUGAGAAUACGUCUCCUUGAUAUCGAAUAGAAAAGGCCAAAGUAAGUUCAAUAAAAAUAAUAUUGUAUGUUUAGUUGUAAGGUGCUAUUUAUUACUUUGUUUGAACAAGAAAAAGUUCUAAAAAGACCAAUCAUUAGCUUCAAUAAGCCCAUGCUUGGCUCCAUAUAUAUUAAUAACGAUUACAACAUACACAAUUAAUUUUAAAUAGUGGUCACAAUUAAUGGCUAACAAAGUAGUGAAAGGAUACCUCUAUAGAUGAUUCGAGUUGAUGUUGCAACUUCAGCAUUGACAUUGUCUUUAAGCCAUUUCCUCAGUUCAGCAUGGACCUGUCACAUAUAUUUAAAACAUGGUCUGAGAAAAAUGAUUACAUCAAAAUUCACAGAAUAUCAACUUUAGAAGCACAACAAAGAGCAAUUAUGUCAGCAAGUUUUGCUGGCAAAAAGAGAUAAAGUAAUAAUUGAAAUAGACUUAAAACAUCUAUUUACUUGUAUUCAAUAUGUAAACACUGUCAUGACCCAACCCAGACCUGGCAAGAUAUUGUCCGCUUUGGGCCUUAACAAGGCCCGCACGGAUUUGUUCUUGGGGCGCUCAUACACCCCAAAACGCGUCUUGCCAAUUAAGGUGUGGAUCACUCCUUAUAAACCCAGCAUCUCUCCCGUACUUUGCCGAUGUGGGAUUUGCCUAGGGUGUUACAUACACCCCCCCUUGAGGACUCAGCGUCCUCGCUGAGGUUUGCCCCACCAUCGCUCAAGAGGACACGCGGAGCCGCUCUGAUACCAUAAUGUCAUGACCCAACCCAGACCUGGCAAGAUAUUGUCCGCUUUGGGCCUUAACAAGGCCCGCACAGAUUUGUUCUUGGGGCGCUCAUACACCCCAAAACGCGUCUUGCCAAUUAAGGUGUGGAUCACUCCUUAUAAACCCAGCAUUUCUCCCGUACUUUGCCGAUGUGGGAUUUGCCUAGGGUGUUACAAACACAAAGUACAAAAUUAUUUCUGUGCAUGUACCCAUCUGAAAUGGAAAUGACACGGGCAAAAUUAUUUGUGGGUUUGUACGAAUAUUUAGGCAGAUGUAUAAAAGAAAGCAUCCACAAGCAUGGGAGUCUGAAGAUGGAUUGGGAAACAAAUAUAAUUCUUUGUUGUAUGUAUGAAUCUAUAAGGUGAAAAAAUGAUGAUGACAAUCAGAAACAGCUCUACUGUAUUAUUACUUGUUUCAAAACUUCUAGAGCUAUAGACAAAUUCUGAAAUGCUCUGCCUAGGAAAAAAUACACGUGGUGAAAAUAUAUGGAAAUGUGCUGACAAAAACACCAAACAAGCUCAUAAUCAAUUCUUGUUAAAAAAAAAAAGGCUCAUAAUCAAUCCAACAAUAUUUAUGUUGAUAGCAAGAAUAAGGAUAGUCAUAUCAUUCUUCUAAGCACGAAGAUCAUUGUCAUUGAAACAUCAAAUUAAAUAAGACAUAAACUCAAACUUCCUUCUUGAGCCUAAGCAGGGGUUGCAACCUUUCCAGUACCAAUGGCCCAAACUAGCUCAUAAGCCAACACAACAUUGUCCCAGUUGGAUUUUUUUUCUGCAAGAGAACAAAUAAUUAAUUGUUCAUGCCGUGUAGAAUCUAAUAUUACAAAAUAUACAGUCUUUCGCUGACCAUAGAUAAUCAUCCUAUAAGAAAAGCAAACCUUACGUACGUACCUAAGAUCAGAAAAGAAACAAUAAUGGAUGGAUGUGGAUAUAUAUAUAUGCAUGAAAAUAAGAAUAUUCCUGACAUGACAGCAGGGAACGCUACUAAAAUAACGUCAGGUGCCACGGCAACCGGGGUAUAGUACACCAUAUAAAUACUCAGGUUUAAUUUUUAUCAAUUAAGUUCACAAACACACCACCAAAAAAGCUAAGGUUUCUUCAACCUCAAAACCUUUAUUACUGAGAGCUUGCAAGCUCUCUAACCUGAGAUAACCCAACUCUAACUUGAGCGUCAGAGUGUGGUCGCCGACCACCCCCGGCUCCACCUCUGACCUCUUUUUUAGUUGUUUCGUAGGUUUAAGAUGAUUUUCACCAGCCUUCUACACCUGAAGUCAGACCCCCGCCAUAUCCACCACCUUCUCAAUCCUCCUCCACUCCACAAAAAGCCUAAACAACCCACACGCGCCGAACAAGCGAGGCACCCCGCUCCCCAACAAAAAUAAAUUUAUUGUUCUGGGCUUGGUUUUGUGAUUUUAUCUCGUUAACCCAAAAUCAGCCGCCAACAUAUUGUAAGGAAAGAUUAGAUAUAAAAUGGUUGUAAGAAAUAAUUAACCAUUAAUUUGAAUCUAGACUAAAUUAAAACCUAAAAUUAAAUGUCAUGAUAUCUUUCACGAAAAUACAAAGUAUAUACAAAUCAAUGUAGGUCUACAUUAUAAAGUUCAGCAUCAUUCCGAAAGUUUCAAAUACAUCUUUAUCAAAUGAUAGCCUGCAAUAUAAGCAAUAAUAUAGUAAGAUGUAGGAUAAAUUAACACCAUAUUUACGUAUAGGAUGAGUUUGGUUGAAGGAUCAAAAUGCGGGAAUGUAAUAUUCUUUCAAACUUCAUCCAAAUCCCUUAUUGAUGCUCUCAAAGAGUAUUGGGAUUAUCUUAUCCUGAGCCCACAAGAUAAUCCCAACUUUAUGAAGAAAGUUAUCUCACGGGUGGCCUUGGGACUAGUUGAGAAUAAUUUUAAAAAGCAAUUAUUUAUACUUAAUAGUUUCUCAAUAUUAAAAUUAUAUAAAUAUGUACUAAGCAUAAUACAAGUAUUAUAAUAAUUAAACAUUAUAAAUAACAAAUAAAACAAAAAAGUUAUUUAUUUAUCAUGAAAAUAAAAUAUUAAAAAGUAAUUAUAUUUGUUUAAAUAUUUUAGUAACAUUAUUAAUGUAAAUUUAUUAUUAAGUAAUUUUUUUGAUUAAUAGUGUAAAUAAUUUUCGCUUGUUUUAAACAUUAAAAUAUAAUACAAUUUUAAAUUUAAAUAUAUAAUUUUAUUAUUAUAAAAGUAAAGUUUAUAUCUUUCCAUUAAACUUAAAAUAAUAUCUGGUCAUUUUUAUUAUCUUUAACCUAAUUUAAUGUUAAAAUUAUAUAUACAUUACAAUUUAGUCCAAUCUUGUAUUACGCCAAACAUGAGAGGUCAUGAAAUAUAAUCUUAUCCUAUCACAUCUUAUUUUAAGUCAUAUAGCUCAAGUCAUAUUCAAUUAUAUCUCAUCUCAUCCUAUCCUAUCCUAUCCACCGCACCAAACAAGCAUAUAUAUGUGAUUAAGAACUACAAAUACUAUAGCUCGAAGCAUUUCUGUUAGAGUUUCUCCUAAAACAUAGAUAUCCAGAGACAAGCUUUUAGAAUGUUUGAAAUAUAAUCACUCAGGGAUGUAAGUCGAUAUAGUUAACGGUACAUCAAAUCUGUAAUUCUAACGCGAGCUAGACUCGAGCCCCUCUCAAAUCCAAAAGCUAUAUAGCUUUCCGAACACAUUUACCGAAUGACCAACAUCAAUUUCUUCUGCAACUGAUAAAGGACAAAUACAACAAUAUAUGAUAACUAAAGGAACAAAUAUAGGAAACUGCUAUUGCGUUUUUAUGGAAUUAAAAUGAGGAGAAUAUUCAAAGGAACCCUUAGUUCUUUAAUUUCGGAGGAAUUUGGGGAUUAAAUUGCAUGUGUUAUAUAUGCUUCCGUUUUCGUUUCUAUUUCAACUAAAUUGCACAAGUCAAGUCACAUGGCAGCAGAUUUACGUGCAUCCAGUUUUGGAGUGGCAGAGAUAGACCAAUUGUACCAAGGCUAUUAUAUUUAAUGUACUAAUUAAUGUUAUGGAUAAUUAGUGAGCAGCCUAACAAAUAACUUGUAUCACAAUUUACAGCUUCAACUGACAAAAUAAUAAAAUUAAUGACUCUAUGUAUAGCUAAAAACUCUAAUUCAUAAUAAUAAUAAGGGAGUUCAAAUAAAACAGCAGCUAAUAAAAUAGUCUGUCACUACAAAUAAUAUGAAGAAACACCAAGCUUUAGAGUUUGUCAUUUAUUAAUGAUUUCUUCGUCAAAUUAAUCCAGCGAGCUUGUUCAGAGACCCAACUUGUUCAAUAGACGAGGAAAAUUGCUUGAAUUCGAAGAAUUUUGACAGAGAUAAGAAACCUACAAGGAGGGAGGAUUAAUAAUUAGAAAAGGAAUAGUGCAAACUUUUAUUCGUGUGUGUGUCUAUAUAUAUAUAUAUAUAUGUAUGUAUGUAUGUAUGUAUGUAUGUAUGUAUGUAUGUGUGUGUGUGUUUGUGUGUGUGUGUGUGUGUAUAAACAUGUAUACAUACGGGAGAUUUUGAAACAACCUUACAAUAGAGUGAACAGAAAUAAUUAUUCCCUUGCAGCCUAGCCGGACACCCACUGCAUUUGUUGGUGGUGGAUUCUCUAAAAUAUGUUCCUGGCCUUUGGUUUAUAUGUAGCACUUUUUCACCAUUAUGUUGAUAUGUCUGAAGAGAAAAUAUAUGGAGCACGUUUGUAAGAAAGUGGUCAGAUAUAAAUGUAGUUUCACAAGUCAUAUGCUCAUGCCUGGAUACCGAAUUUGAACCAAGAACAAAAUUGUGUGGCACAGCUCAAUUCGGAUUAAAAUUCGGAUGUUCGUGCGUGAGCAUUAUUAUGCAGUUCAGAGUAGUACUUCAUUGGCAAAUAGCAGAAUUUUUAAGAAAAUAUUCAAUGAAGAAGAAAUAAAAAAGAUUUGAAUUCAAGCUUUGACUUAUUACUUGGAUAUGUCCACAGUCAAUGAACUCGUGAGCCUCAACGAACCGUACAACGCCGUUUUCGCCAUAUGUGCGGAUCUGAAAUAUUAAAAAUUUACAAAACAAAUACAUAAGUAAAUAAAUAAAUCAUGCAGAUAGUAUUAAAAAUUUAUGAUGUAAUAAAUUUAAUUCAAAUAAUAUUUAUUUAUUCAUGUGAACCUUUAAGAGGUGAUGAGUACUUUCGUGAUUGGACAAGCAUUUUUCGCAUAUACUGGUGCAACAAUUCAAACAAUAUAUGUUCCUUUGUCUAACUGCCGUUCCGUGAUUGCAAUUUUGAAAGCUUCUCUCUAGGAAAAGAGUCAAAAGACCUUGGAGCCACUGGGGUUGAUUCCCGGCCUGAAAACACGAUUGAAUACAAUUGAUGUUAUUAACUAAUUAAAAAAAGUAACAACGAUUUCGAGUCCUAAUGAACCAACGAAGUUGGAUUCAAUAUGCUAAUCACCCUUUGUACGAGAUUAUUAAAAGUUCAACGCAACUAUAUGAUAAAAGCUAAAUCUUAAUUCUAAAUCAAAAGGUGAAAAUUAAAGAAAAGACCUACCAUAAUUGUCUAUUGAUGCUGGAGAGUGUAUAUUUUUCUUUGAGAGAGAGGGGAGUGUUGGUAAAGAGAAUUACACAAGAGUCAAAGAGAAUUGAGCUUUUUAUAUAUGUGUGUAUCGUAUUUGUGUCGUAUUGCUGUCCGAAAAAUUCUAGCACUGUUUAGUUAAUUAAUGUAAUAGGUUUCGUCAACAUAAAAAAAAAAAAAAAAAUUAGCACGCGGGAAGAUUAAUUUCUAUUUUAGCAACGAUAAUAGGAAACGUUUGUGUCUUAUUUGGGUUGUGUUUGUGUUUUAAUUAACGCAAAAACUAUUUUGUUGCCUACUCUAGAGUUAGAUCAGGAAACUUAACAAAGAAUAAAAGUGGAAAAAAUAAAUUGUAAUGAGUUAAUGGGAAACAGAAGGUACAUGCGCAAGCUGAUUCGGAUUAAUUUUAAUGGGAAACAAAAGAUACAUCCACAAGUUGAUUUGGAUUAAUUAAUUUUCAACAUCUGUAAUCAAUUAUAGGGUGAGGUCGCUUGAACCUACUAAAUCUCUCUUUAAACGUGAACAAAAAUUAUAUUUAUUUUUAAAUUUUUAAAUUUCAAAAUGUUAGAAUUACUCUUCAUUUUUUUAAUAGGUGUAUAUUUUCUCUCUGCCAUAACAUCCUGUAAACUAAAUUCUCACGUAUACUCUAACAUGGAUAUUGAUUCUUAAUCUUUCUUAUUAGAUCAUGAUUGCAUUAUUAAUAAACCCUUACUGCAUUUCUUGUAUUAUUGAAGUAAAAAUAUCAUGGAGCUCAACCAUAUGCAUAUCUCCGCUGGGCAAUCAAAGUCUUUUUGGCAGGGCUUACAAUUCAUGUCACUAUAAUCCAUGUUCUUCAAUAUGGACGAAGGAUGCCGAGGUCAUUGGAAUCAUGAUUUUCAUUUUCAAAGAUUUUAUGAAAAAAAAUUAAUGACUUUGAUGUCUUGUAAAUUUCGUUUGAAGUUUAUAUUUGGAUAGUAAGUUUUGUUUUGUUUUUAAUUGUUGAUGGCAUGUAGAAAAUCUGAAUUUAUCAAUUUUUGACAGACAAACAUUACCAUUCACUUACAACUGAACAUUGAGAGAAGAAAAAAUGCGAAGCCCUGGGUGCGAAACUGAGGCAAAAAGCGAAAGAGAAAACAGGGUACAAUAUGUAAUUCCAUAAAAAAACUUUAAUAAUAAGAAAUUUAAAUAAAAAAUAGGUGUAUAAAUAAAAUUGGUGGGUUUUAGUACUCUCACCCUUAUCAUGUGUCUUUUGAAGCGCAAGUGGAAUUCAUGCUUCUUUUUUUUAACCUUUCCAUUCGCUCAGAUCCCUUCCAUUUCCUUAAUUUUGUCUGGAUCUUCUUUUUCUUUUGAGAAAAGGGUAUAAGAAGGAUCUUCUUUGGCAGACACCUCUUGCUCCUCUUUAAUUUUCCCUUUCAAAGGCUUUUCUAUUUCUACAACUUUUUCAUUCAUUUAUGAGGUUUCUUUCACUUUCAAUUUCUUAGUAGAAAUGGAUGAGGGUAUUCUCCCUAAAUAGUAUAUAUAAAUAAGAGAAUACAUCUCUAAAGUUUGGGAGAAUUGUCACGCAGAACUUAAGGUUAGGCUGGGCAAAUAAACCGACCCGACCCGAUUCGAUCUCAUCCGAUCCAAAUAUUUCAAGUUCGGAUUGGAUGCGGAUUGACAGUGAAACCCCAUCAAAUUGAUUUUCAAACCCGAUCAGAUUAUGUUCGGAUCGGAUCAAACCCAAUCCGAUCCGAAAAUCCGAUCGGAUUGCAAAUAAAAAAAAUAAAGAAUUACAAAACCCUAAUUUAUCAUUUCUCAACACCACACGAGCACAAGCCACCACCAGCCCACCACUGUCCAAAACUCCAAUUCCAAAGGACCAAUCUCAUCGGCACCAGUCACCACUGUUGAACCGCCAUUGUCCGCCGCAAAAUUAACCCAGCAAAUCGCACCAAGUCAUGAGCCUUAGCCUUCGUUUUGAUUGCGUCGGCCGCCACCAAGCACAAUAGAUCCAUGGUCGCGCCAGCCACCACCAAGCACACAGUCCGUGGUCGCGCCAAGCAGCCAUGUCCGCAACCUCUCUCUACUGCUGAAAUGGCAUUUUCCGAUGAAGCCAUUUACAGGUGAUGUUAAUAAUAUUGAGUUGUGAAAGUUAACCAAUUUUUUUUAGGCUUGGGAUUUGUUUUAUUGACAUGAGGGAUGCUGUAAAGUCGUUUGAAUUGGUGAAAAGGAUGGGAAGUUGAAUUGUGAUUUUUAUUGUUCUCUUAAUUUGUUGAAAUGAUUGUUCAAUUUCGUGUGUUCAAAUUGAAGAUAUAAAGUUCUCGUGAUUGUAAUGAAAUUUGCAGCGAUUGAUUCUAACUUCAGUUAUCAAAUCCAAGAUGUGAUUUAAAAAAGAAAAUUACAAUUCUCUCUGCAACCUAAGCAAUACCACCCAAAUCCGAUCCGAUCCGUUCUUAACCCGAUUUUUUGAUCCGAUCCGAUCCGAACCGAACAUAUUCGGAUUGGAUCACAUAUUCGGGUUGAGUUCGGAUGACAUUUUUCUUAAUCCGACCAACCCGAAAUCCGAUCGGGUUGACCCGAACCCGAUCCGAAUCCGAUUUUGCCCACCCCUACCUUAAGGUUUCAACAAGAGAUAACAAGAUCACUUUUUGACCAUAGUACUUGGCUCUAUUAAUCCCAAAAAUUGACUAAAUGUUUUAUAAAAAUAGAAAUGCAAUAUUAAGAUAAUGGAAUAAUACAUAUAUUUUAAAAUAAUUUCAACAUUAAAAAAUUGUUUAAUAUUUUAAAUCUAUUAGACAUAUUUUAUUAUAUUAAAUUAAAUUUUAUAACAAAUAGAAACAUUAUUGUCUAUUAAAAUAAGCAUAUAAUAAAUUAAAUUUUUUAAUAUUAUAAAAAAAUAAUUUUAAUAUUAUUAAUACAUGAGACAUAUUUUAUUAAUUUUGAAAUUUAUUUAGCCCAAAUAUUUAUUUAAAAUCUUUAUGCUAAAUACAAAUGUAUUAUUCAAAAAACAUAAAUAUUACAUUUUAAAAUUAUUUUAAAUAUUAACAUUGUCAAUAUCACUAGUCUACUAGAUAGUUUAAAUUAUUUGUAUUAUACUUUUUGUACUCAUUAAACAUUUUAAGCUAUUUUUUAUUUACUAUAUUUCAAUGAGGUCCCUAAAUGAUGUAGUAAAAAACUUAUGGCAUCAAUAAUGUUUCAACUGUGUACCAUUAGAUUUAAUUAACGGUAAACAAUAUUUGUAUUAAAGAACCCUCCUUUAAUUAACCCUCCUUUAAAUUUAUAAUGUGAUAACUUUUUUGAAUAUAAAUGUUUCAAAAUAUAUCAUCUAAUAGUUAUCUAACAAAAAUCAAAUAAAUAAGUUGUAAUUAUAAAACUUAUAUAUGGUGUAACACUAAUAAAUGACACAACUAAGUACGUAUAUUUCAGUGAAUGUCAUAAAUUGCAUCAAUAAGCUCAUGGAUGAAAUUGUUUGUAAUCUAAAAUUACUAGAUCACCCAUGUUUUAAUAAAAGUUACAUUGCAUAUUAAAAUACCCGCUAUAUACUACUAUAGACCAUUAUAUAAUUGAUCAACAAUUAUAGAUUAUUUUUAACACCCAUUUAGUACAUGAUAAUUUCAUUGCAGGUUAGAACACUAUCAUCUGAUUAUUUUUUUCCUAAUAUACCUCCUUUUCUUUUCAUUUUUCUCAAAUAAAAAUAAUUUAUUUUUUCCAAUUUUUUAAAAGAAAAGGAAAAUAAGAAGAGUUUUAAUUUUUUUUCUAAAUGGAAUUGAUGAGUGGUACAAAGGACAAGUGCUGUAAUCAAUGGAGUUUUGGUGAAGAGUAGCCUUCAAAUAUCAUAAUUGACGAAGGAAAUUAUACCCCUAAAAUUAGGUUUACGGGAUUUUGAACACCUGCACUCACACAGUGUAAAAGCAAGUGUUCGCCAAUUAGGCCAAAGAACUAUUUACUUUAAUUAAGGAGAAAGAAAAAUGUUAAAUAAACUAAAUAUUGUAAGAUGGUUUCAUGGGGUGAGGAAGGAACUUUCUAGAUGUCAUAACUUGGGCUAUAGGUACCCAUUUUGGCCAUAUAAUAUAAUUUCAAAGUUUGCGAUGAGAUGAACCAAAUCUAAGGCCAUGUUUAUGCCAUUCUGCCACAUGAUCGUGCCAAAAUUCUAUUUCUUUCCUUUCUAUUUUAUAAUAUUAAGUUAUUUUUUUGUUUCACUAGUUAAUUUCAAGAGUUUUAUCUCUUUUUUUUAAAUAUCAAAUUUAGAUGCCAUUUUUUUUGUUUUUCUUAUUUGCAAUAGGAGAAUUUUACUAUAAAAUGUGCCUGUUUUGAUAAAUUUACAAUAUUUAUGGUUAGUAUAAAUCCGGCCCAACCGUUUUGGGGAUAUACUAUACCAUUACGAAUCUUGCGACAAGACAAACCAACCCACAUUGUCUAGCUAGAAAUUUAGUUUCUUUCCUAGUCAUUUUACAAUUUUAAGUUAUUUUCCUAUUUUUCUUGUUACUUUUAAGAUUUUUAUCUUUUUUUUUCUCGAUUUUAGAUUUGGGCGCCACUUGUUUUGUUUUCCUUAUUUAGAUUAAGAGAAUUAUAUUAUAAACUAAUAUGUCAGAUUUGCCUACUUUGGUAAAUUUCCAAUAAUUAGGGUUAGUGAUAAUUUUAUGAAAUGAGACUUAUCAUGACAUUUCUAGACUUAAACUAAUAUUACUUACAGAGUGAAUGAUUUGUUUUUAUUGCAUUUUUAGUUACAUUUUUGCAUGAGUAUCUAUUUAAGUUUAAUUUUAAUAAAUUGAUUGUGUUUUAGAUCACUUUGUGCUCUGAAUAUGAGUAUAAUUAUAGAUGACCAAAAAGCUCAAACUUUAUUUAUGGGAUGCAUCAGCAGACUUGCAUAAAUAACAACAAACUUGUCUGCAGAUGAACUAAAAGAAGUCUAAAUCAGAGAAAAUGUUGUAGCAAUUGUUGUAGCAAUCCAGAAGCAAAUUACAAGCAAGACUACUUGCGUGUUAAUUGACAAAGUAGCGACAGGCGACACAAAAUGAUAUGCGAUCCAAGGUUUCCAAAAAAGAGACACAUGGUCACAUGCUUUUGGUUGUCCUAAUUCCAAGAUAUAAAAAGCGUACAUGUGAAAGAAACAAGGUGGCCGUCACACAAAGAAAAAACAGAGAGAAAAAGAAAAAGAAGAGAACAAGAGAGAGUUGAGGGUUGCAGCAAGAGAUUUUUGAGAAAAAGAAAGAGAGGUCGCAAAAACCUAAGAGAUGGACGUCUUAUAUUAGCAUAACUCAAUUCCUUAUCUUUAUUUGCUUGUUUUCAUCUCUCUAUGAGAAUGUAUCUGAUGGCAAAAACGAGUAUUAUUACUGUUUUAUCGCUAUCAUGAACUAAACUUUGAUGUAGUUGGGUGAAAGCAAGGUUAAUGAUUAUUUGACUUAUAUAUGUGUGUUGCUGCUGCAUCAUUUUGUCUUAACUUUACUUAUUGCAAAUCUCUAUUUCAGUUGACCACCCAUUUAAUGGAUACUAGCUAAGGAGAAGCCUAAAAAUGAUCUGACUGAGUGGAACAAAUUAAGACAAUACAUGGUUUUAGUUUGAGUUUCCCAAGUUGAGUUAAUCUCGAUUUGAAUAUGGUCAUACUUAAUCUAAGAUUAGUGAAGAACCAGACAUAGAGAUUUACCUUGUAGAGUAAUUGAAUUUUAGAACAUAUAAUACUAUGUCUAAUGUUAGCACAGCAAUUGGUCACUGUUACGUUGCAUAUAGAUAUAAGAUAUCCAACAUGCGACAACUGAGGAUGCAUGAGGGAUUCUGUCCAGUGCUUUAACAUGUGUUAUAGCAACAAUACUGUAAUUGAAAAACAAUCAAUAGAUUGAAUUGAAUGAGUUUAAGCACUCAACUAUUUCUUUUAUAUUGAGUAUAUCUUUGUGUUUACCAUGAGAUUUUUUCCUUAUUGCAUUCUGUUUAUUUUAUUUUUAAUUUUGUUAGGUCAUUAAUUUCAUUCAUGAUUUUAUUUUAAUUAGAUUGAAUUUGUACUGUUAAGAUUGUUGUAGCAAGUACUAUAAUAUUAAUCCUUAUAGAGACAAUCUGGAUACUCAUUAUUAUAUCACUUGUUGUGUACACUUACACAUUGACACCUAUAGCAAUACAUAUCAAUAAAUUUUUGACAUUGUUUCCAAGAAUUGAAUGCUUAUUGUGAUUUGUGAAGUCAAUUUUAGUCGGUGCCAAUUUUAGUUUUUUUUUAUAAUUUGUUUACUGUGUUGACAGAAGUGCUCUAGCAACCCUUGUAUGCGUAGGUACAAAUCUGUUGAAUUCUAGUUUGAUUUAGAAAUUUAAAGAACUGCAAGGAGAUUGAGAAAAGAUCAUAGAAAUUUAAGAUAUGUUGCAGACAUAGAUGAUUUGUAAGAUAUAAGGAACUUGAAACCUCGAUGAGAAAUAGAACCCGUCAAUGCACAUGGAGGUAAAGAAGGUUAAAAUGGACAAAAUAUUUAUGGGCAACUAGAGAACAAUAAUAUUAUCUACAUGGCAGAUGAUAGAGAUAGAGCCAUUAGAGAUUAUGCCUUGUUGGCCCCUCAAGCCAUAAAUCCUGGAAUAGUUAGACCUAAAUUGCAAGUUGCUAAUUUUGAGCGUAAACUAGUGAUGUUUAUAUACUUCAAACAAUGUGGCAAUUCAAUCGACUGCCAUCAGAAGAUCCUCGCCUUCACUUUAAACUAUUUCUGGAAGUAAGUGAUGCUUUCAAGAUUGCUAGAGUAUCGCAGAAAGCAUUAAGAUUCAUACUCUUCCCAUUUUCUCUAAGGGAUCGAACAAGAGUAUGGUUGAACUCUCUACCGCCUGAUUUCAUUAUUAUAUGGAAUGACUUGGCGGACAAAUUUUUAAUAAAGUACUUCCCACCUGGCAUGAAUGCAAAAUUGAGAAAUGAGAUCACAAAUUUUUCCAUCAACUUGAAGAUGAAAGUUUGUAUGAUGCAUGAGAAAGAUUCAUGGAGUUACUCAAGAGAUGUCCUCAUAAUGAUAUUCCUUAUUAUAUACAGUUAGAAACUUUCUACAAUAGUCUCAACCCAAGUACUUAGAUUGAUAAUGGAUGCUUCGGUAAAUGGGACCUUGUUAUUUAAGUCUUAUAAUGAGGCUUAUGAAAUUUUGGAAAGAAUAGCUAAUAGCAACCAUCAUUGGGCAGGAGUCCACAAUGUAGAUGCCUUGACAGUAUUAUCAACUCAAGUAACCUCAUUAUCAAAUAUAGUGAAGACUAUAAUUACUACUUCAGCAACUUUAACCAAAUUACUGAGGUAUCUUGUGUUUAUUACAGAGAGGGCAUUUAUUCGACAAUGGUCUUGGAAAUCCUGCUUCAGUCAACUAUGUGGGCAUCUACAAUAGACAGAACUACAAUAAUCCUUAUUCAAACACUUAAAACAUUGGAUAGAGACAUCACCAAAACUUCUCAUAGAGCAAUCAUAAUCAACAUACUGUCGUACCCAGUGGACAAAACAUGCCUGCUCAACCACCUAGAUUUCACCAGUAAAAUCAGGGGAUGGAGAAUGGAGCGGUUGUCCAAAGCCAAGUUGUAUCCUUAAGAAACUUAAAAAAUCAGAUUGGACAGCUUACCACAGCACUAAGCAACAAACCUCAGGGCAUUUUACCUAGCAAUACAGAGGAUCCAAGAAGAAAAGGAAAAGAACAUUGCAAAGUGAUUAAUUUAAGAUUUAGAAAAGAUGUUCAUAUUCCAAUUAGUAUACUAAAAAGAAGAGUUAACCCAUUGUAACCCAAGAAGAAACUCAAGUUAAAACGGAGCCACAACCUCCUACUUUCCAGCACAUUAGUGUAAAUAGCCAAGCUACAACAUCGGUAAAAAAUGAUGCUCCAGCAUGUGUUGGUGAGGAUGCUACAACACCACCCACAUUAGUCCAAAACAUGGCAAAAGAGAAGCAAUCUGUACAACCUGCUAUAGCACAACAGUUUAGACACCCGCCAUAUUUUUCUCACAGAAUCUAGAAACAAAAACAAGAUAAUUAAUUCAAUAAAUUCUUAGAAGUGUUCAAGCAGCUACAUAUCAAUAUUCCUUUUGUGGAAACCUUAAAACAAAUGCCAAAUUAUGUGAAGUUCUUGAAGGAUAUUUUGGCAAGGAAAAGAAUGCUUAGAGAGUUUGAAACAGUUGCUUUAAUACAAGAAUGCAGCUAUAUGCUUCAUAACGAGAUACCUCAGAAGUUGAAGGAUUCAGGAAGCUUUACAAUCCCAUGCUCUAUAUGAACUAAAUACAAUGACAAGGCGUUUUAUGAUUUGGAAGUUAGCAUCAAUCCCAUACCUCUAUUAGUGUUCAAGCAAUUGGGAGUUGGAGAAGUUAAAUUAACAACAAUGACUUUACAACCUGUUGACAUAUCUCAUGCCUAUUCAGAAGGCUAGAGAAAUCUAGCUGAACCACGUUAAGAUUCUUUUGUUCUCUGAUUCAUUUACUUCUGUUUUGAUUCUUAAUUCCAAUCAGUUAAUUAUCUAGUUCAUAGGUUCAUCUUAGUCGCAGCUUUUCAGUCAUCAAUCUUGCAGCAUCUUGAUUAGUUGGUUGGUGAUCUUGGGGAAGAAUCUAAGGUUGCUUAGUCUGUUCAUAGCUCCUUAGUCUCUACAUUCCCUUUUGUAUAUAGAAGUAUUAUUCCAAGUAAAAUAAGGAGAACGUUCAACGGAUCCUUUAAUGCUUUAAUUUCGGAGACUAGGGAUUUGGAAUUUUAAUUGCUCGUGUCCUUCUUUUUUUCUUUUAUAUUUCAAAUUAAUUGUACAACUCAAGUCAUUUGGCAGCAGAUUUACUUGCAACCAGCAAAAGAAUCAUUCCAGUGUUUUGGAGUGACGAAGAUAGGCCAACAUUUAUCCAUCAAAACUGUACUAAUUAAUAAUAUGUACUAAUUGGUGAUCAGCCUAACAAAUAACUUGUAUGACAACUUACAGCUUCAACUGACAAGAUAAUAAAAUUAAUGAUUCUAUUUGUAGCUAAAAUCUAUGCACAAUAAGAGAUAUUAAUGAUAGGACUUUCAAAAAUAAAAAUUCUAAUUCAUAAUAAUAAUAAGGAACUUCAAAUAAAACAUAAAUUAAUAAAAUAGUCUGUCACUGCAAAUAAUUUGAAAAAACUCCGAGCUUCAGAGUUUUCUUUGUCAUUUAUUAAUUAUUUCUUCGUCAAAUUAAACCAGCGAGCUUCUUCAAAGACCCAACUUGUUCAAUAGACGAGGAAAAUUGCUUGAAUUCCAUGAAUUUUGACAGAGAUAAGAAACCUAAGAGGAGGGACGAUUAAUAAUUAGAAAAAGAAUAAUGUAAACUUUUAUAUAUGUAUACAUAGAUGUAUAAUUGAUACUAAGCGAUUAAAAAAAUUUACCCGGUAAUAUGUAUAUAUAUAUACAUAUACACGCACACAUAUAUACAUAUAUACAAAUUAUAAGGAGAUUUUGAAUGAACCUUGCAAUAGAGUGAACAGAAAUAAUUAUUCCCUUGCAGCCUAUCUGAACAGCCGUUGCAUUUAUUGGAGGUGGAUUCUCUAAAAUAUGCUUCUGGCCUUUGGUUUAUAUGUAGCACUUUUUCACCAUCUUGUUGGCAAGAAAGUGGGCAGAUAUAAAUGUGGUUUCAUCAGUCAUACGCUCAUGUGUGGAUACCGAACUUGAGCUAAGAUCAAAAUUGUAUGCCAUAGUCCAAUUCGGAUUUUGCAAAAUUCGGAUGUUUGUACAUGAGCAUUAUUAUGUAGUUCAGAAUAGUACUUCGUUGGCAAAUACCAGAAUUUUUGAAGAAAAUAUUCAAUGAAGAAGAAAUAAAUAAGAUUACAAUCAAUAAACUCGUCAGCGUCAACCAACCGUACAACGCUCUUUCGGCCAGAUGUGCGGAUCUGAAAUAUUAAAGAUUUACAAAACAAAUGCAUAAGUAAAUAAAUCAUGCAGAUGGUUUUAAAAAUUUCAUGAUGUAAUAAAUUUAAUUCAAUUAAUAUUUAUUUAUUCAUGUGAACCUUUAAGAGGUGAUGAGUACUUUCGGGAUCUGUGUGUGUGUGUGUGUAACGUACUCACAACAAUAAAAACUCUUUUCAUUAGGUGUAUCAAAUAUGGGGACUUUAGAAAAAAUAAUAAUAAUAGUAAUAGUAAUAGUAAUAAUGUUGUAAUACAAUAAAUGAUAAAUUAAUAACCUUAAUUAAAUAAUAAAAUUCUCUGAUCCCAACUUGUGCCUAUUUGAAAAAUUACUAAUUUAGAUAAAAGCAUAAGAUAAUAACUUUUUAUUCUAAAGCAACAAAAAGAAAUACAUAGAUAAUUCAUGAUUCAGACCAAUGCUUCGUAUUCUCUUCAUUAAUUCUUUUGGUUAAUCUAUUUGUGUUUCAUAGUCAUAAACUUGUAAUUUUUUUUCUAGCCCCAAGGGCUUCAUUGUUAUGUAGUUUUUACAUAAUUUUAUUUGAUUGGUUACCCAAGUUUAAAUCUUGAGAAGAUAUAAAAAUCAUCAUUUUACCCAUCUAAAAUCGAAACUUAUAUACAUAGAUAAAUUAAAAGAAAAAACUUGUUCAGUGCUAAAAUGAGUUUUCCCCAUAUAACUUUUCCAUGGAGGGAUUUACCUUAAUGACAAUGUGAAAACAUAAGAAUUUGAUUGAUAAGAGAAACAAAGCUUCUCAAUAAUGAAUGUUUUAUUGAAAAAGUUUGAAUUAAUAAAAUUAGGGUUUUGCGCCCCUAACAUAGUAGCCCUAAACAUCACAAAUUUACGAAAAUAGACAAAUAUAAAAUAUUAUUUUAUAUUAAUAUUCUUCUAUUCUAAAUAAGAAAAAUAAAUAAAUGGAACCCAAAUUUGAUUUCUAAAAAAAUAAAAUCCAAAAAAAGAGAAAUAGGAAAUAUCUUAAAACUAAAAAAAGACCAAGAAAAAAUAGAAUUUUUAGCUUGAGCACGGACCAAAAGGGUGCAAUCUAUUUUGGGCUUUGUUUGUCUAGUCACAAACUUCGAAACAGUAUAUUAUAUGCCCAAAACAAACACUUGUAACUCACGUUAUGACCUCUAGAAUGUACCCUACUCAUCUCAUGCAACCAUCUUACAUCGUUUUGCCAACCAAGUACCCAUACUUUGGAUCAUCGUCUUCAGUUUCUAAGACAAAGUUGUACACUUAACUUGAAUGGUUUAAUUUUAUGAUGCUAAUUAGGGUGGGUGCUUUGAUCAAACUCGAUAAAGUACAAACACAAACCAAAAAUGUGCAAUCUAUUUUGGGUUUUGUUUGUUUAGUCACAAAUUUUGAAACAAUAUAUUAUAUGCCCAAAUCGAACAUCGGUAGCCUAAGUUAUGACCUCCGGAAGGUACCUUAUUCAUCUCACGCAACCAUCCUAACUCACUUAGCCAACCAAGUAGACAUACUUUGGACCAUGGUCUUCGGUUUCUAAGUUCAAGUUGUACACUUAACUUGAAUGGUUUAAUUUUGUGAUGCUGAUUGGGGCCCCUUUUUUUUUAUCAGACUUGAUGAAGUACUACGGGAUUUUGUAUCUUUCUCAAUGCAAAUCGUAUCUCAUGGUGUUCUAAGAAGCGGCCCACUGUACGAAGUGUUGAUCACUUGCUUUCACAACAGUUGAGCUCACAUGGCUAACCUUCCUAUUCUUCGUGUUUUGUGAUAAUAUAAGUGCGUUACACACAUAUGACAGUAAAUCCAGUCUUGCAUGCGCGAUCUAAACAUAAUGAGAUGGACUAUCAUUUUCGUAUAAGGUUAGCCAUGUUGAUAUUUUGAUAAGAGAUUUAAGGAACUCCUACCGCAUUCAAGAUGCACUGUUUUGGAUUUCCUCAAUGAAGAUUCAUAUAACCUCUUUGUUUGCUUUUCUUUUUGUUUUCUUUAUAUCCUUGUGGGUCUUUUGAUGGAAUAACUCUCACCACUUAUUCAUCUUUUUAUUUUUGAAUUUAACAAAGCUUAGGGUUUACAGGAUCCAAUUUUUAGUAAUUAAGUCAAACCACAUAAUUGACCAAAGAUUGAUAACUCAAAUAAAUACUCAUUACUAAUAAUAAUAAGUUCUGAAAACCCAAUAAAAAAAAAAGCGCGCUUCACUAGAAAUUUAAAUGUCUAAUGAAGAGAAAAAAAAACAAUUGAAGAAUUUGAUGACGCGUGCAGUGCAAGCUAUGGCAGAUUCACUCUGUUCAAAAGCCAUUUGGCGUUGCGAUAAUUGGAUGGAACUGACAUGAUAUGAACCUAUAAUUAAAGACAGAUAAAUAUUAGAGUUAGAAUAAAAUAAUUUAACUAAAAUGAAAUUAAUUACUUAAUUAACUAACCUUGCAAUCGAUUGAACAAAAAGGAAUUAUGAUGUUCAAGCGUUGCAUCGCAGCCGUCACGUUCACAAUUAUUGCCUCCAUAACUUGUCUGUGGCCUUUGCUUAAUAAAUAACACUUGGGCACCGUUAUGGACGCGUGGCUAAAGAGUAACAUAGAUUUAGAACGCAUAAAUGUAUAAAGCGAGGAAAGUGAGAAAAAAAGUAAUAUAUAUAUAUUCUCAGCUCCAGUCCUGUUUUACUUUUGCUGCUUCUCUGAGAAAGAACUCUAAAGCAAACAAACUAACACACACACACACACUCUCACACACAACAAUAAAAACAAAAAAAACUAACUUCAAAUGCACGAAGAUUGAUUGCAGAAGGUGAAGAAACAAAUUAACACACACAAAAGAAACAAACUAACACAACCUUUCAGUUCUAGUCUUCCUUUAAUUAUACAUCCCUAAUAUUUCAUAUUUGCUUGCACUGUAUGCUUGCCCAUAUAAUGUCUCCGCGGCACUUCCCAAAUCAGUGAAGUCACACCACUUAAUCAAAAUUAACAAUAUAACAUCUUCUCCAAAUUCAAACAAUGGGCUAUGUGGCAAAGAAAAUCAAACAAUUUCUUAAUUGUGAUGACCAAUUACUAACCAAAAAUGGCAACAUAAUGAAAAUCAAAGCUCAUGAGGAAGACCCAAUCAAUUUCUAGUGCAGAUCGAAUCAAGUUCUUCUCACAAACAAACAGCUUUCUCCCCGAAAGCAUGUAUUCUAGAAUCAAAUACAGAAACUAAGCAUUUACCUUGCAGAUAGUUCGCUGAAAGGACCAAAAUCUUUAAUAGGGAGAGUCCAGAUACAGUAGCGAUGAAUCUCAGUUUCUAGGAUUUAGUUCGCAAUCCAAACAAUUGCUUCAAUGACAAUUUGAACGCUGGUAGUUUGAACAAGGGUAAGGAACGGUCCGCCGGCUGGUGUUUGGGUAAUGUAUGUAGUGGCUAAUUGAUUAAGAGUGAUGAUGAGUAUCUAGGCUAGGGUUGAGUGGUGUGAGUGAGAGUGAUGAUGUCGAUCAGUAGAGAGUAUUGGGAGACUUGGAAAAUUUAUGUUUUUGUUAACACACUUUCUUAAACGCAGCGUUUCGUUCGUUUAUUUUUUUUAAAUCAAUUAUCUAAACGCCGCGUUUGGAUUAUAAAAAAUUAAAAUAUUACUUUUAAAUUUGGUCAAACACGGUCAAUAUUAAAAUUCUAUCACAAUGUUUGUGACUGAAUUUAUUUCCAUCACAUGCAUAUCAUAAACUAUUGAUAGAUAAAUAUUCUAUCACAAGUAGGGAUAGCAAAAUAACCCGGACCCGGACGAAUCCAGAUAAUCUGGAUCGGGUUGAACCGGUACCAAAGUUUAGAAAAAUUUAGUUCCGGAAUGAAUUUUAAUAACCCGGAUAGAUUCGGGUCCGGAUCCAGGUUUGGGGUAACCCAUAAAUUCGGAACCCGGACCCGAAUAUCUUUUUUAUAUUAUUUUUAAUUAAAUUUAUUAGUUAAUAUAAAUACAAACUUAAAAAAGAAAACCAUAAUUCUAUCAGCUCUCACUCACAGUCACAGACACAGACACAAACACAUUGAAGUUGUGCCGCCUGCCGCAGGCAAAGUGCCAAAGUCAAACAACCAUCGGCUGGGCUGGGUUCGCCACCGUGACAAGGUCGGGUUCGCCACCGUCACAAGCUUGGGUUCCCCACCGUCGCAAUUCGUUUGGUUCACCACCGUCGAAGGCUUGCAACUCGUCAGCUCCUUUAUUGCUUGGAAAUGAGUAUGAAGAUCCUAUUUCAGCAUGCACUUUGCAAAGUUGAGAGCUGAUUAAUUAUGAGCUUUAUGGGCUUUCUUAGAAAGAAUUAACAUGGCGUGUUUGGGUUAAAAUGGCUAAGAAUUCUUUCAUAGUUUUGAGUUUGAUUUGCUUUAUUCCAACAAUCUUUUUUAAUGUAAGAGAUGGACAAAAGGAAUCAGGUAAAGCAUUUCCAAGAAUGUAACUUAAGAUAUAAUAUUGAUGGAAGAGUUGGGAGUUUGAUGAGUGAGAUUUAUUAUUUGUUUAUGUUUCUUCUUUUUGAUAUCAUUGAAAGUUAUGCUUAGUUAUAUAUGCUCUUUCAGCGGUGUGAUUAGAAAUUUAGAAUUCAUUUGGAUUUUAAUUUUAUUUUUACAUAACAAAUUCUUAGAGGUCUAAUGGUUAUUUUGUGUGUUCUAAGGCCCCGGUCUAUUGUGCACACUACUACAAAAUUGGUCUUUAAUGACGGUUUUAAAAGACAUAAGAUGACGGUUUUAAAACCGUCAUCUUAGGCAGCGACAUUAAAGGGGGUAUAUUUUUUAUGACGGUUCAAAAACCGUCAUUAAAUGACCACUUAUAAUGACGGUUAUUUUAAAAAACCGUCAUUAUAUGCCAUGGAUACAUAAUAUUUAAUGACGGUUUUUUCCUAACAACCGUCAUUAAAUGUGUAUUUAUAAUGACGGUUAUUUUACUAAACAGUCAUUAUUUGUUAUUUAUACUAGAUAUUUAAUGACCGUUUUUAGGAAAGAACCGUCAUUAAAAAUAAACAUUUAAUAACGGUUUUUAGGAAAAACCGUCAUUACAUGUACUUUUUAAUGACGGUUUUUAAGAAAAAACCGUCAUUAAAAAUGAACAUUUAAUGUCGGUUUUUUCCUAAAAACCGUCAUUAAAUGUUUAUUUUUAAAAUUUUUUUAUGAUGAUUUUUUUAAAUACUUGUCAUUAAAUUACUAUUUUUACAUGACGGUUUUAUAUAAAACAGUCAUCUUAUAUCAUGUUUUGCUACUUUUUAUGACUAUUUAUCAAUUUAUAACGAUGGCUUUUAUAGAACCGUCAUAUUUGAUGUUAUCUAAAAAAAAAAUUAUUACAAGCAUGCUUUAAUUGUAAUUUUCUAUUUAACAAAUAUAUUUUUACAAUUACGUUUUUACAAACUAUAUCAUAUACAAAAUAUUGCUUUACAAAAAUCUUAGAUGUAUAAUCCUUCAUACAUCCUCAACAAAAUGUAAUACAUUGAAAUUCUUACAAAUACUCUUCCAAUAUAACAAAAUCAACUACUAACUAAGAAAAUUCUCAUGCUCUUUUGUAGAGAACUUUGACAAUCCUUCAUCUUCAACAAAAUACUAGCUCUUCCACAUGUAAUCUAGCUACCACAUCUAAAUUCUCAUCAAGUCUUCAUAUGUAAUAUUUUCAAAAAAAUUAUGCAGCUGCAAGGGACCUACAACAUUAUUUACAAAGAAAGAAAAAAUAAAUAUAUCAAGCUCAUUUAUUACAAGUUGUAGUUUAAUCAUGAUAAGUUGUAGUAUCUAGUACUAUUAGAGACUGACCUUGAAUUAUCAAUCAAUUAAUUUUCAUAUGUAGCAACAAGUUGCCAUGUAUACCUAGCCCACUCGCAUCUCACCUCGUCAAUCUCCCUUUGAGUGUAGCUUUGUAUCUUAACAAACUAUAAAGUGAAAAAUAUAUAAAUUUUUUUGUGGGGAAAAUAAAUAAAUAUUUGAUAACAAAUUGCCAAUACCUUUUCUGGAAUAGAGACAUUAGUAUUAGCCACAAUAUCCCACAUAUAUUUCAUCACAUAAUAUCCACAAUGCUCAACAUAUUUGGGUUGACGAGGACACUACAAAAGAGAAAGUAAUAGAUUUAAGUUACACAAUGAUCAAAUUCAUGCAAUAAUAAAUUAUAAAUCUCAUAUACAAAAUAUUAUGAAUUUGAAUUUAAGACUAAUGUUCCUUACUUUCAUUGGUUUCCAUAUGCAAUGCUUCCGAUUAAUUUUUCCAUGUGCCGUGCUAAACAUUCUCAAUGAACUUAAUUUCAAAAAUUACAAAGCAUAUAUUAAAAAAUAAUAUAAAGAAAAUACAAGCUAAAAAGUACAAUUUUUUAACAUACCUAUUAAUAAGCUCUUUCAAGUUUUGACGCGGAUCAUGACCAAUUGAAUCAAAAAAAUAACAUUGGCCUUCAUAUGAAUCAAUAACAGUCAACAUCCAAUGUGCUCUGCGUGCAAUAUACUUAUCAUUGUAAAAUUCCAAAUAUCAUAACAAUCUUAUUCACUUUGAAUGUAUAACUUACGAUUCAUUAUAUGGAAAAAUGAUAAGUUGCGUUGGAUCGAUCGAUUCCAUUAUAUCUCCAAGCUUUUUGGCCUUUUCCUCACUGUCAUGGGCACUCCCAUUUGCAAAAAAUUCUGGAUCAACAAACUUGAACCUUUUUUCCAAAUUGCAUCUCUUUAUAUUCUCAAAUAGCAGCCUGUGCAAGACAUAAUACAGAAAUAAUAUACACUCUUACAUCUAUACAUAGCAAUAUUAGAAAUUUGGAAUAACACAUCACCUCAUAUACAAUUUUAUGACACUAACUGAUAUUUGUUCCAUUCUACAAAAUUGUAGAAUAUCAUCCCUACCAAGAAACAUCAUUUCAGUUGUAGAAGCAAACAUAUUUGGAUCAAAAUUGAUUAUAAUGGAUCCGGAGGGGUGCAUCACAUUCUUAGCAAAUGAAAAAAGACUUUUCACAAUUGGAGGCAUACUCGAACUUGCUACAUCUUGAGAAACAAACUUUGAUACCUAAUAUUAAAAAAAAAUCAAUUAAACACAAAAUAAUAAUCUACUUAUUUGAAUAUAUGGCAUAAUGAAAUAAUUUACCUCGUUGUUACUUGUAAUAACAAAUUGUUUAGGCCAAGCCACGAUAGAUCCAAUAGCAUGGCUUACAAGUAUAAGUUCAUCACGAACCGGUCGAGGUAAGAUAGCAUUUUUUUGGAAUGCAACAUCAAUAGACACACGUACAUCAGUAGAUGCAAGUGGUAUGCCAUGCACGGUUGCAUUUGGUUCAUUAUCCAUAAACACCGUUCCUUGAGCCACUAUGUUAAGGUCAUCGCCUAAUGCCAACUUACAAAAAGUCCCCUGUAAUAAAAGGUAAUAAACCAACAAAUAAAUUAUUGAAUAACUUAAUCUUUCAUAAAACAGCUGCAAAAAAUAGACAACAUUGUAGUAAAAUAAAGUUAUGUUAAUAUAACUAUUGUUACUUAUACGUUGUCACAAAAAGUAAGGAUUUUGCUUUUGUUUUGCACGCAAAAUAACAUAACGUUUAGUACAAAACAGCAGCCAAAAUAGCAAUAGAAUGGUGUUGUUUUUUACUGCUCUUUUGUAAAAAGCAACAUUACUCAAAGUAUAAAACAACAACAAAAAUAACAGUAAAAUAAAGGUAUAUUUUUUGUUGUUUUGAAAAAAAACAGCAGCAUGAUUUUUACUACAAGAAACCAGUAAAAUAAAGUUGCUUUUGUUGUUGUUUUACAGCAAAACGACAUGAUUUUUACUACAAAAUGGUAGUAAGAACAACAAUAAAAUAAACAACUAUUUUUGCUACUCCAGACCAACAGUAAGAGCAGUAGUAAUAUAAAGCUAUUUUUGCUGCUGUUUUACAAAAAGUAGCUUGAUUUUCACUACGAAAUAACAACAAAAUAGCAGUAACAUAAAGAUAUCUUCCACUGAUGUUUCGCAGAAAAACAACAUUAUUUUUCUCUUGACAAAACAGCUGCAGAAAUGACAAUAAAAUAAACUAUUUUUACUAUUGUAUCUCCUGUAAAGUUUACUGUAAAAAUAUUAAAAAAUAAUAAACAGUAAAAUGUACCUUUGAUAACCUUGCAAUUGGUGUGGAUUGGUCCUUUGCGACAGGCCUACUCUGAUCUUGUCUUUCGCCUAGAUCUGAACAACUAUCUCGGUCAGAUUGUAGUCGAUUUGGUGGAAAUUGAGAAUCAUUGAAUUCCUUCAUGAAUUCCUUUCUAAAUUCUAUCAUUCUCUGCAUGACAAUCUUAUCCACUUUCUCUUCGACAAUAUUCUCUAUAUCAAUUGCUAUAGAUUUACGUUUCGCCCUUCCAAACUAUGAUGUUAUCGUCACUCCAUCACCAAUAGCUUGUACUCGACCUGGAUGUUCUGGUUUCUCCAAAGCCAUAGUGAGAAUAUCCUCACCCGGUUGAAAUGAAAUUUCUCCAUCAGCAACUUGUUUCUUUAAAUCAGUCUACAAAGACAAAAAAUUCAGGGGGAUAAGAUUAUAUUUACCAUAAUCUUAUGAGUCAAAUACUAUGUAAAAAAUAUAAACUUACUAUUUUCUCAGCCUUUUCUUUAACAUCCUCACUUCUAAAUUCACCAUUCUUUGUUUUUCGAGCUUCAACCCAUAAGUCUUCUCGUGGUACGGGAGCAUAAACACCAGUUGCUCGUUGCUACAAUAAAUUAUGUUGUUAGUUAGUUCACUUAAUGCAACAAAGUUGGAAUAAGAAAUAAGGAAAGUAAGAAUAUUUAAAAAGUAAAUUACAAUUCGUUCUUCUAAGCCAACAUAUCCUCCUCUAGAAAGACCAUGAUUUAGAGUGACUUUGUUACGCCGUUCUGUCUGAGAUUCACUAAGAUUCUGCAUUAUCAAGUUAACCAAAAAACAUCAUACAUUAAGAACAAAAGUUAUGAUACAAUAAAGUAGUUAUAUGAAAAUAUGACACAUAAUAGUAUUUCAUAACCUUAAACUCUACUGAUUUCUUGGACUCAACAAAUUGGUUCCAAUCUUCUUGAGGAAUUGAACCCCAUUCUUGGCCGGUUGGGGGAUGUCUCAAGAGUUCAGGUUCAUCUAUAUGCUCUUUUACAUAUGCUGUGAGCUUAUACUUAAAUGUCUUCCAAGUCUUGUUAAAUUUCAGCAUAAUGAAUCUUUUUCUAUCUUCCCCAACAUCAAAUUUUGCCUUCAUGAAAAUGAUCAUAAUUAAUAAAUUAGAAAUUUAAUUAUUAAAUUAGUAAUUUCUGAAUUAUUUAUGAAAAAAAUUAUAAAUGUUAGCAUAUGUACCGUAACACAUGCCCAUAACUUGUUUUUAACUUCUAUUGGUACUUUUUUCCAAGUUGUAUACAUAAUCGGAACCAAAGAUCGAGACCAAACCCCAACCAUACUACUCAAUUUUGGUCGCAUCUUACCUAUUGGUUGUCCUUUGUAGUUAAAGUUAACAUGGAACUUCUUCCCAUUGCUUGUACCCUUUACAAUUUUAGGCAUCAUGGUUGGACCUCUUUUCUUCCUCUCAUUCGUUCCUAAAGCAUGCGCAUCAUCAUCUUGAGGAAUAUUUGAAGAAUCCAUUUAAGCCUGUAACUUAAACAUGAUUAGUAAACCAUAAAAGAAAUAAUCAAGAAAAUGAUUUCACAAAAAAAUAAUAUGAACAAAAUAUCAUAAAGUUUUCUUUAUAACUAAGUGCUCACAAUCAUAUUUAAAAUAGGCUAAAUUAGGCUCUUCUUUUCUAUCAAAUGAGAGGCAAUCUGCUACUCAAAGCUUGUUGGUUCAUAAAAUGGUCAUAUAAGCCAUCUUCAUCGACAUCAUCCUUUGCAAUAUUUAUAGAAGGCUCUAAAACAAUUGACCAUCUAGGAUCAAGUUGGUCUUCAACAUAGAACACAUGUUUUGCUUGCGAUGCUAGAAUGAAUGGAUCAUUUUUAUGCCCUGUUCUUUGAAGAUCAACUAGAGUAAACCCAAACUUAUCUACUUUGAUACCAUUGCUACUUUUAACCCAAUCACAUCGAAACACUGGAAUUCUAAAUUGAUGGUAGUCCAGCUCCCAUAUCUCUUCAAUAAUGCCAUAGAAAGUCAUAUCCGAAUAGACUGGAUUAUUAGCUUUAGCACUUGAGAUUUGUAAAGCCUUGGCCAUUAAAGUGACCCCACUAUUUUGAACAACUCGUGCAUCAUCCAAUUCCUUUGUGUAAAAUCAGCAAUCAUUUAUGACAUAUCCAGAAUACUUUAUUACUUCUAAACGAGGCCCUUGUGCUAUCCACCUCAGUGAUUCGGAAAUGCCGUGACUUGAACUAUUCAAUUGUUGUUCAACCUUGGUGCAAUAAAAGAACAUAUACUAUCAAAAUUAACCAAACAAAGAAAAAACAAACAUAAUGGAAAUCUUAAUUCAUUAAUCAAUAAGUAAUUACCUUAAGGCGCAACUAGCCAAUAAAUGUUUUACUAUGCUCAUCGUGCAACAAUUUUUCUCUUUUAGACUUUAUGGGGUGUAACUCCUUCAAAUAUUCAAAGUGCUCACUAAUAUAAUAGUUUAGACAUAUUACUUCAUUUUAGAAGAAUAAAAUAAAAUAAAUGAUAGUAAUUGAAAACAUAAUACAAAACACUUACUCGAUAUAAGGUUGAACAUCAUUUGUGUUUGCUAGAACAUAAAGAUGUGCUUGCUGCCAUUGGUGAAAAGGCACAGUCUCAAGUUUACCUCUUAAAAGAGGAUAGCCCAUAUCUGAAUAGUCAUAUGUAGCAUUUUUUCUAGAUGGAAGUCCAACUGCAUCUACACCAGAUAAAUACUCUGAGCAAAACUCAACAGCUUCUUCAGCAAUGUAUGCUUCAGCUAUACAACCCUCUGGUCUAUUACGGUUCCUGACAUACCCCUUUAACUUUUUCAUGUCUCUUUUGAAUGGGUACAUCCAUCGUAAAUAAACCGGCCCACAAAGUUUAACUUCUCGAACAAGAUGUACCAUCAAAUGAACCAUGACAUCAAAAAAGGCUGGAAGAAAAUACAUCUCAAGCGAGCAUACCGUUUCGACUACAUCAGCUUGUAGUUGAUCAAGUGCAGCCACAUUUACAACCUUACUGCACAAUGAAUUGAAAAAAAAACACACUCUCAUUAUAACUUUUUUAACCUGAUCUGGUAGCAAUGCCUUUAUAGCCACGGGCAAUAACUGUUGCAUCAGAACAUGACAAUCAUGAGACUUCAUACCAUACAACUUUAGAUCUUGCAUUGACACACGAUUUCUUAUAUUUGAAGAGUAACCAUCAGGGGCCUUUAUCUCAGAUAAUGUUUUACAAAAUCUAAUUUUCUCUUAUUUACUUAAUGAAAAAGAUGCUGCAGGUAACUUAGUUCUCCCAUUUUCAGUUAUAGGCUCCAAUUCAGUCCGCAUAUUCAAUGGUUUAAGAUCCAUACGAGCUGCAAGUCCAUCUUUUGUUUUUCCUUCUAUCCCAAGCAAUGUACCGACAAUACUCUCACAUACAUUCUUCUCAAUAUGCAUAACAUCAAGCACAUGUCGAACAUAAAGAUACUUCCAGUAUUCAAGGUCAAAAAAUAUAGACUUUUUCUUCCAAUAACUUUGUGAAACUGGACAUUUUCCAUUUUGCUUUCCCCAUGUAACAUUCAACCUAUCCAUUUUUGCUAGAACUUCCUCUCCAUUUAAUGGUUCGGGUGCUAUUUUAUAUUUGGGAAGACCAUUAAAUUCUUUUACCAUAUCACGAUACGGGUGUGAUCGUGAUAAAAAUCUUCUAUGCCUCAUGAAAGAAAUCUUUUUACUAUGCUGUAAUCGAAUAGAACGUGUUUUUUCUCCACAUAUCAGACAAGCUUUAUAGCCCUUUACAGUACAACCAGCUAAGUUUCCAUAAGCCGAAAAAUCACUAAUUGUCCAUAAAAGAAUAGCUUUUAAGUUGAAAGAUUGUUGUCGGUAUGCAUCAUAAACAUCAACUCCCACCUCCCAUAACAAUCUCAGAUCAUCGAUCAAUGGUGCUAAGUACACAUCAAUAUCAUUGCCGGGUUGCUUAGGACCCGAUAUCAACAAGGUUAACAUCAUAAACUUUCUUUUCACGCAUAGCCACGGUGGAAGAUUAUAAGUCACUAGUAUAACUGGCCAACAACUAUACCUGCUACUUAAGGAACUAUGUGGAUUAAUCCCAUCCGCAGAAAGAGCAAGUCUCAGGUUUCUUGGUUCAGAUGCAAAAGCAGGCCAUGUGUAGUCUAUGAGCUUCCAUGAUGGAGUAUCGGCUGGAUGACGUAGAUAACCAUCAACUUGACUUUGUUCUGCAUGCCACGUUAAAUUUUUAGAUGUUUCCUUGAUGCUGAACAUUCUUGUAAACCUAGGAAUUGGUGGAAAAUACCAUAAAACUUUUGCAGGCACACCCGAUUUUAGCUUUUCCGAGUUCUUUAUUACCUUCCACCUAGACAAUCCACAAGUAGGGCAAGAAGUCAAAACUUUGUAAUCCUUCCAAUACAGUAUACAGUCAUUUGGGCAGGCAUGAAUCUUCUCAUAUUCCAUUCCCAAUGCAUUCAAUGUUUUUUUUGCCUCAUACAUAGAUGUCGGGAUUUCAUUUUGGUCUGGAAGCAUCUCUCCUAGUAAUUUAAGUAGCUCAGAGAAACUUUUAUCUGACCAUCCGCUCUUCACUUUCAAGUUGUAUAGUUUUACUAAAGCCGAUAACUUUUUAAAGUUGUUGCAGCCUGGAUAUAGUGGUUUUUCAGCAUCCUCAAGCAAUUUUGGGAAUGCAUCAGGAUUACUUUCAAAAUUAUCAUGUGCCCCUUGAACUAGCUCAAUAGUAUUAUCAACAUGAUCAUAAUCAACUUCUCUUAUAAGCUGUGCAUUUCUACUAGUAGAAGGCCCUCUAACAAGUUCUUCCCCAUGUAGAAACCAAUUUGUAUAACUUUGAUCGAUUCCAAAGAUAAUCAAGUGAGUUUCUAUCUCUGAAAGAUUCUGGUAUUUCACAUUCCCACACUUCAAGCAAGGCCAACGCAUAUGAUUUGGAUUUGUUGUGUGACGAACGGCAAAAUUCAAAAAGCUUUUAACACCGACUCUAUAUUCUUUGGAUCUUCUAUCCAAUGAAAUCAAAGACUUAUCCAUUGUAAACUCAACAACAAUAAAUUGAAGCUUGAAGUUUUAAUUACUACCUCGUAACCAAAUGUGCUUUGAUGUUCCAAUGAGAAAACUGAACCUAUUUAUUUCCAAAAAAUAAAAGGGAAUUAGUUUGGACAUAAGAGCAAACAAGAAAAUAAGUAAACAAAAGAAAAAAGAAAAGGUAGCACUGUAAUUAUUUUGGUGCUGUAUAGCUACUGUAAUUGUGUUAAAACAGCACCUGUAACUUUCAAGUGCUGUUUUUAAUUAACAUCAAACACAUCAUGACAGCACCUACAAAUUUAUUUAAGUGCUGUCCAACUAAUAAAAACACCACUUGAAAGUUUUAGGUGCUUAUUUUAACAGCAAACAGCAGUAGGACAGCACCCAAAGUAAUUUAGGUGUUGUUUAACUGAUAAAACCAGUAACUGAAAGUUCCAUUGCAGUUUUUACAACAAACAGCAGCUUGAAUGCACCUAAAAAACUUUUCAAGUGCUGUUUUUAGCCUUAAACAGCUGCAUGACAGCACCCGAAAAAUUUGUGAGUGUUGUCUAGCUAAUAAAAACAGCAACUGAAAUUUUCAGGUGCUGUUUUUGACAGCAAACAACAAAUUACAGCACCUAGAAUAUUUUAUAAGUGCUACGUAGCUGCUAAAAAUGCGUUAAAAGCAACUGGACAGCAGCAUGACAGAACCUAAAAAUUUUUUGGUGCUAUCCAGCUGAUAAAAACAGCAUUUGGAACUUCCAAGUGUUGUUUUUAACAGCAAAUACCAACAAGACAACACCCAAAAAAAUAUUUAGGUGCUGUCCAGCUGAUAAAAACAGCAUUUAGAACUUCCAGAUGCUGUUUUUAACAGCAAAUACCAGCAAGACAGCACCCAGAAAAAUAUUUAGGUGUUGUCCAGCUGAUAAAAACAGCAUUUGGAACUUUCAGGUGCUGUUUUUAACAGUAAAUACCAGCAAGACAGCACCCAGAAAAAUUUUUAGGUGCUGUCAGCUGAUAAAAACAGCAUUUUGAACUUUCAGGUGCUGUUUUUAACAGCAAAUACCAACAAGACAGCACCCAGAAAAAUAUUUAGGUGCUGUCCAGAUGAUAAAAACAGCAUUUGGAACUUUCAGAUGCUGUUUUUAACAACAAAUACCAGCAAGACAGCACCCAAAAAAUUUUUUAGGUGCUGUCCAUCUGAUAAAAACAGCAUUUUGAACUUCCAGGUGCUGUUUUUAACAGCAAAUACCAGCAAGACAGCACCCAGAAAAAUUUUUAGGUGCCGUCAUGCUGCUGUAAUUGUGUUAAAAUAGCACCUAAAACUUUUCAAUACUGUUUUUUACAACAAAUAGCAGCAUGACACACUGAGAAAAUUUUAUGGAUGCUGUCCAGUUGCUAAAAUCAAUGCUUGGAUUUUCCAUGUGCUAUUUUUAACAGCAUAUAGCAGCAUGACAACCGCAGAAUAAUUUCCCAAUUAUUGUUUUCUUUAUAAAUCAGUGGCAAUCACAGCUUCUAAAAACUUCAGUAUAAGAAAAGAAUAAUUAAAUCCUCUCAAUUGAGUUUGGGAGGAAGGAAUACUUUUAUUACAUCAAAACAAAGUUAAAAAACAACAAAAAAGAUUGAUGUUAUGGCCCUUUUAAGGUUUUCUACCUAUUAUUGCCAGUCAUAGAACUAAAUACUUAACGAAACAGAGUUUUUUGAAUUAAACAUGAAUUUCAUAAAAUCCACACCAUAGAAUUACAUGGCAACGAAAAAGUGUUAAAACAAACUAUAAGAACUGAAACAAACCUUGCAGAUGAUUGAACUCAAUACUGAUAUCAAGCACACCAAAAAUCUCUGAGAGAAGUAGCCAUGUUUAGAGUCAUCCAAUGCUAGGUUACAAAACCAUAAAACCUGCCCAGUCCAAUUAAUGAGAUUUAUAAGUAAUAAAAUGAAAAUACAGAGAGAGAUAGAGAGCAAGAAUGAUUUGGCUCAUAAAUAAGAAAUUUCAAAUUCCUUCCAGUAAUCUGACCUAGGUAGUGAACUGAGGAUGGAUUGGAGCAUUAAAAAUGGGAUUCAACCCGGUGGCUGCUGAGACGGCACAAUAAUCCCAAGGUUGCGAUGGUUAGGAAGUGGGCAACAAUUAAUCUUGGCUAUUCUGGAGAGAAAUGAGCGAGUGAAGGAAUUUGGGUAUUUGGGUAUUUGGGAGAGAUAUUUUGAAGUGAUGAAAUAAAAUGCCAAGUCUAGAAAUCGGCUUUGCUUUUUUUUUUUUGUAUUAUUCAUGACCGUUUAUAAAAUAAACGGUCAUGAAUGAAGAUUAAUAAUUUCCUCUUUAACCACGGUUCCUAAAAUAACCAACAUUAAUACUGGGAUUAUAUUUUAGUGGAUAUAUAAUGACAGUUAAGUUUAAAAACCGUCAUUGUAAGUAUGUAUUUUUAAUGAUGGUUUUUAUAACAAACCGUCAUUAAAAAUAAUAUUAACAUUUAAUGACGGUUUUCAAAUAAAACCGUCAUUGUAACUAUAAAAUAUUUUUAAUGACGGUUUUUACAACGAACCGUCAUUAAAACUAACAUUAUAUUUUAAUUUUACAUUUAAUGACGGUUUUCGAAUAAAACCGUCAUUGUAAGUAUAAAAUAUUUUUAAUGACGGUUUUUAUAAAUAACAGUCAUUAAAAAUUUUAAUUUUACAUUUAAUGACGGUUUUAGAUAAAACCGUCAUUGUCAGUACUAAUAUUUUUAAUGACGGUUUUUAUAACGAACCGUCAUUAAAAAUUUUAAUUUUACAUUUAAUGACGGUUUUCGAAUAAAACCGUCAUUGUCAGUACUAAUAUUUUUAAUGACGGUUUUUAUAAUGAACCAUCAUUAAAAUUAAUAUUAUAUUUUAAUUUUAUAUUUAAUGACGGUUUUUAAAAAAAACCGUCAUUAUAAGUAUUAAAUAUUAUGACGGUUUACAUAAUAAUGGUCAUAAAAAAGUUUUAAUGACGGUUAUUUUUAAGAACCGUCAUAACUUAUGGGUCAUUAAUUUAAAUUUUUGUAGUAGUGGCAGCUGUCUUAGGUUAGAAUUGUUGAAAUUGAUUUAUUGAUCCGAGUUCAAAACCCAGAAUCUGGGAACCCAAAUUUUUCCAAGUUGAACCCGGACCGGACCCGGAUGGAAAAAAACCAAGUUUUAAUCCGGGUCCGAGAGAAAGAAAAUAGCAUCCAGGUCCGGAAUCGGGAAGGCUAAACUCGGACCCAGACCCGGAUUUUGCCAUCCCUAAUCACAAGUACAUUAUUAAUAGUUUGAUAGAUCAAAAUUCUAUCAUGACUCCAUCAUAGUUACAUGAUGAAAUGAUUUUUGUCAUAAAGUCGUUGUCAUUUAUUGCCACUUUUCUUAUAGUGCAAAUUUCCUUAGCACCUAAGGAAAUUCUCUACCAAAACUCACUUCAAAAUCUCACAAUUUUUGGAUACACAAACAAAUGAGAAAUUGCCUUCAAUUUAUAGGGAAAAAUCGGGUGUACUAUUGCACCAACCCCAACAAAAAUUAGGUGCCUACUUUAGCAAUUUGUUUUCAAAUUUGCCUCUCCAAUGUUGAAUGCAUUCAUGUGUAUGCAUGUUGGUCAAUUAAUGCAUUAGUUAAAUUUGAAUGCAUGUAUUUGAAUACUAAUUUUUAAUUUUUCAAUAAUUCUCCAUCUCGACGAAGAUUUUGUCCAAAUCUAAGUUGACUAUCAACAACCCGUCCUCAAGUCUCUGUCUUCUCUGACUGCUUUCAAAUUUGUAAGAUGUUGAUCAAGUUUAGACAAUGCUCAAACUUGAUCGUUGUCUCCACCUUGGUCAAUAUAUCUACGGGAUUCUCCGCAGUCCUGAUUUUCUGAAGAAAAAUCUUCCCCCUCAUCAACAAUUUCCCGCAUAAAGUGCAAUCGUACAUCAAUAUACUUUGUACGUGCAUGAUAAACUUAGUUCUUUGUUAAGUGAAUAGCACUUUGACUGACACAAUACACAUUAAUCUGCUCCUGUACGAAUCCCAAGUUUUCAAGCAAGCCUUGAAACCAAAUAGUUUCUUUAACAGCCUCUGUAAUUGCAAUGUACUUGGCUUCGGUGGUCAUUAGUGCGACUAUAGACUGUAGUGUAGACUUCCAAUUGAUUGGCCCUCUAGCAAAAGUAAAUAUAUAUCUAGUGGUUGACCUUCGUUUGUCCAAAUCACUAGCAUAAUCAAAAUCGACAUACCCGAUCACACAUUGACUAAGUGUAUCGUCUAUCUCAAACAGUAAACCAACUUCAUGGUCUUCUGAAUGUACCGUAGAAUCCAUUUCAUAGCUUGCCAAUGUCCUUUACCAGGAUUAUGUAUAUACCUUCUCACUAUACCAAUUGUAUGUGAAAUGUCAGGCCUUAUACACACCAUUGCAUACAUCAAGCUACCCACUGCAUUUGAGUAUAGAACUUGUAACAUGUAUUCUCGUUCUGCGUCUGUUGAAGGAUAUAGUUGUGCAGAAAGCUUGAAAUGAUAAGCCAACAGGGUACUCACAUUUUUUGUCUGGUUAGUCAUGCCAAACUAUUAUAGUACAUUCUUCAUAUAUUGCUUCUGAGACAAGCUGACUUUGCCACGAGCUCUAUCUCUGCAUAUCUCCAUGCCAAGAAUCUUUUUACCUUCACCUAGAUCUUUCAUCUCAAAUUCUUGAUUGAGUUGAAUCUUUAACUUCUCAAUCUCAUCUUUGUUCGUGGAUGCUAUUAGCAUAUCAUCAACAUACAAGAGCAAAUAUAUGAAGGAUCGCUCUUGUAACUUGCGAAAAUACACACAAUGAUCAAAUUUAUUUCUUGUGUACCUUUGCCCUUUCAUAAAUCGAUUAAAUCGCUUAUACCACUGCCUCAGAGAUUGUUUCAAUCCAUAAAACGACUUUCUCAAUUUGCAAACUCAAUUUUCUUUUCCAGCAACCUUGAAUCCAUCUGGUUAAGUCAUGUAGAUUUCCUCUUCCACAUCACUAUGUAAAAAUGUAGUUUUUACAUCAAGCUGAACUAGUUCAAAAUCAAAUUGCGCAACCAUGGCUAGCAAAAUUUUGAAUAAACGAGUAUUUCAAAACUGGAGAAAAUACCUCAUUGUAGUCUAUUCCUUCAUUCUAAGCAUAACCCUUUGCUACUAAUCUAGUCUUGUAUCGAAUUUCAUUCUCAUAAGAAAAUCCUUCUUUUUUUGCAUAUACCCAUUUGCACCUAAUUACUUUUUUACCCUUAGGCAGUGUAACUAACUCUCAAGUUCCAUUUUUAUAAAGAGGCAGCAUUUCUUCAUCUGUUACUAACUUUCACUGCUUACUUUCAGGGCUACAUAUUGUUUCUCUGUAAGUGAAGGAAUAUCAUUAUUUACAAUUGGAAGUGCAUAGGCCACCAUAUCAACAAAGUGAGCAUGUCUAUGAAUAUCCCUUUGUGGGCUUCUAUAAGCAAUUGAAUCUUAUUACUCUGAAGGUUCUUAGGUCAGAACCUCUUCUUCAUCAUCGGUCGGUGGAGAAUCAUUAUCUAUCUCAUCAACACCAGCUGGAUCAUUUUUUACCUUUUCAAACUCCAUCUGCGGCAAAGUUCUACCGAUCUUGUCAUCCUUUUGAGAAUUUUUUUGUUUCAACAUGGCUGAUUCAUCAAAAAUCACAUCUCUGCUGAAAAUAGUCUUCUUCGUAAUAGGAUACUAUAGACGAUAUCAUUUUACUUCAGCAGUUAUACCCAUGAACAAUAUUUUCUUUGCUCUUGAGUCUAACUUAGAUUCCUUUAUAUGAUAAUAAGCAGUGGAACAAAAACAUGUAAAGAAUUAUAAUCAGUAGCAGGAUUACCAAUUCAUAUUUCCAUAAGAGUUUUUCCCUCAAUUGCAGUUGAUGACAAAUGGUUGAUCAGAUGGCACACAUAAACAACUACCUCAGACCAAAACUCCUUGCUCAAUCCAGCAUUGGACAACAUACAUCGAACUUUCUCUAGUAUAAUCCGGUUCAUGCGUUCUGCCACCCCGUUCUGUUGUUGUGUAUCUCAAACAGUGAAAUGUCGCACAAUACCUUCAUAUUGACAUAUUUGUAAAAAUUAAUCAUUCUUGUAUUCACCACCAUUGUCUUACCCAAGUCUUUUGACCUUUCGACUAGUCUGAGUCUCGACAAUUUUCUUCUACUUCAGAAAUAUGCCCAAAACUUCAUUCUUGUUCUUCAUCAAAUACACCCACACUUUUUUAAAAUAAUCAUCAACAAAAGGAACAAAAUAGUGCAUACCUCUCAAAGAAGUCGUUUUGGUAAGUCCCCACAUAUCACUGUGAACAUAGUCUAUAAUCCCCUUUUGUAUCGUGAAUUGCUGAAUCAAACUUUACCCUUGUCUGCUUGCCCAGAACAUAAUGUUUACAAAAUUGUAAUUUGCAAGAAUUUGUACCUUUCAAUAAGCAUUGCUUCAUCAGAGUCUGCAAAUUUUUUUCACUAACAUGUCCUAAACGCAUAUGUCAUAAUUUGGUUGCUUCUGAAUCUACAUUUUUUCAAGAAACUAUUGAUACUGAUCCAAUAACUGUACUUCCUUGGAAAUAGUACAAGUUAUUUCUUCUUGUGUCUUUCAUCAUUAUGAGCGCCCCAGCUACUACCUUCAACAAUCCAUCUCUUAAAGUGAUUGUGAGCCAUUUAGAUUCUAGGACUCGUAAUGAAAUGACAUUUUUCUUCAAGCUUGGUACAUAGCAAACAUCCAUCAAGACUUUGAUUGAGCUAUCAAGAUUUUUUAAUUGGAUUGUACCUAUUCCCAUGGUUUUACAUGUAUUGUCAUUGCCCAUAAAAAUAAUUCCACCUUUUAACUUUUUGAAGCAAAAAAACCAGCCUCUGUUGGGACACAUAUGAUAAGUACAGAUCGAAUCCAAAAUCCACUCAUCUCUGUGAUCCUUUCUGUCUUUCUUUCUGGUCUCAGAGUUGUGCAACGCACUGCAUACAACAUCAAAUGUGAUAUUAUCCUUCCCAUGAAGCAAAGUAGUAGUGAGAUGAUCAUAUUCAUCAGGAAAGGAAUUUAACAACAACAGUAUCGUAUCUUUAUCUUCAAAUUUCUCAUCCAAAUUUAGCAAAUCCGUCAAUAUCUUGUUGAAUGAGUUCACAUGAUCAUUUAUUGACAUUCUAGGUAUAUAUGUGAAUCGAUAGAGUUUCUUCUUCAUAUAAAGCCUAUUUUCAAGGCUUUUCUUCAUAUACUUUUCUUCCAGUGCCUCCCACAAUUUCUUUGUUGAUGUCUCCCUCAUGAUAGAAUACUUCUGAUCUUUAGCCAGACAUAAGUGAAUUGUACCAUAUGUUUGUCUAUUAAUCUUUAUUCACUCUUUGUCAUCCAUUUUGUCAAAUGUUUCUUCAAGAGCAACAUCCAACUCUUCUUAACAUAAGAUAUCCAACACCUCACAUUGCCAUAUACCAAAAUUAUUGGUACCAUCGAAUUUCUCCACUUCAAACUUUGCAUUAGUCACAGCAGUCUUCACUGAUGAAGGUGACGAGGAUGCCUCUACCAUCCUUCUUAAUUCAAAUGAUCAGUGCCUUCAACAACUAUUUACACUUGGAAAAUAGUCUCUAUAAUGUUUAUUUCGCGUGAAUAAAUGAACUAACAAAGUUCCGAGGAGAAUGGAGAGGUCAUAACGGUUCCACUUAAAAUCCAAACUCCUUAGGCUCUUAUCGCCUUGUUGACAAAACUUUCCUAGACAUACAAAAAUAUACACUACUUGCAAUAGACUGUCCUCCAAGUAUAAAGGGUUGUCUCCACUGUAUUAAUGAAUAGUAUCAUAUACGUGAACAAUACCAUAUCUAUAAACAACUCCGUAUACGUGAACAAUGUCGUAUGCCCCAAGCACAAACAUUCGGCUUUGAUACCAAUUGUUGCGGAAGCACGAGAUUGAGCAAUUACUCAUAUUACAGCGAUUGUAACUUUUGGAGAAUAUAAAUGUGGUGUAAAAAAAUGUAAAGAAAGUAGGACACGAUAAUUUUUACGUGGUUCGGCGUAAAGCCUACAUCCACGGGCGAAAACUGUAAGAUAAUUUUACUAAUAAUGAGACUUUACAAAAGUGGAAAAACUCUCAAAAAAUUUCUUUACCAAAACUCACUUGGAAAUCUCACAAUUUUUGGAUGCACAAACAAAUAAGGAAUUGCCUUCUAUUUAUAAGGAAAAACGGGGUGCACUACUGCACCAACCCCAACAAAUUUGUCAACAAAAUUAGGUGCCUACCUUUAGCAAUUUGUCUUCAAAUUUGCUCCAAUGUUGAAUGCAUGCAUGUGUAUGCAAGUUGGUCAAUUGAUACAUUAGCCAAAUUUGAAUGCAUGUAUUUGAAUUCUAAUUUUGAAUUUUUUCAACAAAUUCUUGUAAAUUUCAGUUGUAUUGUCAAACUGGAUUAUGUUUAUAACAUAACAGUCUCCUUCCAAAUCCAGCUGGGUGUAUAAUGUUAACCGAGGAAAACCAUUUACAAGAACGGUUAACUUGUCCUUCUAGCUCAUCUUAUUGUUAGUUUAUUGCCUUGAGUGCUUGACAUGUAGGCUUUUAAAUGUGCUACUAGAUGGUCACGCCAGAUAAGGAAUUAUUGAUUUGAUGUUCUUGUUGUACUAUAUUCAUACCAAAUCGGGCUUUGAUGCUAUUAUAUAUUUAGUUAUUACCUUACAUGAAUUAAUGAUGUUGCCCACUUAUUAAAGGAGUUUUAAUUUUUUAUCAUUUAUGUUGCCUUAUUUUGCUGGGUAAUACUGCACUUAGGGUACGUUAGUAGCCACAUUAACUGGUAUGAAUCAUAAUGCACCAUUCUUUCAGAUGCUCAUAGUUAGCAGUUUUUUGUUACCAGUAGCAUUUUGUAAAAGAAAGAUACAAUUGACUAUUCAAAAAUAUCAUUAUAUAUAUAUAUUGGUUACGUUUUACAUUUAUGUUGUGGUACAUUAUAAAUGCAUCAUUUAAUUUUUAAUAGCAUAACACUUUUUUAUCCUCUUUUUGUCUCAAAUGCGUAGUCAUUGAUAAAACCUAAAAACAUAUUUCUUUAUCCUCUUGCAACUAUCCAUGCCGCCAUAGUAAUUAAAAACUAACAUCUGUGAAUUAUUAAUUAGAGCCAACAUUGAAUUGCGAGAACAUGAACUUUAUUAAUUGAAAUUUGUAUCUUGUUACUUUAAUUUUUUUUUUCCUUCAAUUCAACUUCAUAUUCAAUGUAAAGUUUUUAUAUGGAUUACUCAUUAAUUUUUUUUAGUUUCUAAGUUUCCAAUCUCUUCUUCUAUUUAGGGAAAUAAAAUUUCUCAGUAUUGAAAUGAAUCUACUUUUGUGGUAUUCCAUUUAAAGCUCAUAUGUCAAGUCUAAAGCAAGUAUAUAUAUGUUGAGCUCUUUUGGAAUGACUUGAACACUUCAACAAGAUCAGCAUCUUAAGUGCUAUGCAUGAUAUAGAAUAAUAUAACACUUAUAUGCUAAUUUAAAAUUAAAAAUCAAUAUUUACCGACAACUUGUAAGUUACUUGCUAUAUUUUAAUUAAUUAUUUAUUUAUCCAUUAUACUAAAUGGUGAUUGAGAUUAAAAAAUUUAGAUCAAGGGUUCACAAUAACCCCAUUAUCAAUGCUCUAAAAAUACAUAUAGCAUCGUAGAGAAAUCCUUAAACGAAAUAAAUAAUCACAUGUAGAGCUGGCCAAUGGGCAGAGUGGCAUGUGGCACAGCAUGAACACGGCACGUGUAUGUACAGCACAGCAUAGCAUGAAUACAUUUUGGUAGGGCACAUGGCACGACAUGGCAUGGCAGAAUAUGCACACAAGCUGGGCUGAGUUGAGAAUUUUAGGCAAGUGGGCCCUAAAAGCACAACACAAUUAGAAAUAGAUUAAAGCAUGGCAUGUGAAAGGUUCCGCAAUAAGCACAUUUCACUUUUUAAUGAAAAUAAAUUUAAAUUUUUUAUUUUACAAAAUAACUUAAAAUUGAAUCUUUUAA